rnacentral:tRNA from 1 species
GGGCCCAUAGUAAAGUGGUAUUACGCGUCGUUCGCAAUGACGAAGCCCGGGUUCAACUCCCGGUGGGUCCA